UCCUGAUGCAGCAUGAAACGUGGCACAAAGGAAAGAGGAAACGUGGCCUUUUGCGCUCGGUGUCUGAAAGGAAUUGCAGAAAUGGAGGAAUUUCUGAAGAACCUGGCAAAAGAAAGAAUGAGAUGUAAAAACCUGCCAAAUCCAGAGAGCAUGAAGCAAACGUUCAACAGUACCAGUCAGGGUGCUGCUGUUAGGAGGUGGGACCUUGGAAAGGUGAUGUCACCCUUAUAAUAGAGACCCCAGCCAGCUCUCUCGCCCCUCCGCCCAGAGAGAAGAUGGCCGUCUACAAACCAGGAAGCGGGUUCUCACCAGACACUGAAUCUGCCUGCGCCUUGAUCUUGGACUUCCAGCCUCCAGAACUGUUGCUAUUCAAAGAUACAGGCUAGAAGUGAAAGCAAGACU